GUGCUCGCUUUGGCAGCACAUAUACUAAAAUUGGAAUGAUAUAGAGAUAUUAGCAUGGUCCCUGCGCAAGGAUGACACACAAAUUUAUGAAGCGUUCCAUAUUUAA